UAGGGAAUAUUGCAAAAUGGGCGAAAGCCCGAUGCAGCAACGCCGCGUGGGCGAUGAAGGCCUUCGGGUCGUAAAGCCCUUUUUGAGGGGAUGAGGAAGGACAGUACCCUCAGAAUAAGCCUCGGCUAACUACGUGCCAGCAGCCGCGGUAAAACGUAGGAGGCGAGCGUUAUCCGGAUUUACUGGGCGUAAAGCGCGUGCAGGCGGAUUGGAGAGUUGGAUGUGAAAGCUCCCGGCUUAACUGGGAGAGGUCGUUCAAUAAUUCCAGUCUUGAGUGCAGUAGAGGGAAGUGGAAGUCCGGGUGUAGUGGUGAAAUGCGUAGAUAUCCGGAGGAACACCAGUGGCGAAAGCGGCUUCCUGGACUGUAACUGACGCUCAGACGCGAAAGCUAGGGUAGCAAACG
rnacentral:rRNA from 1 species